CUCGGUGUUCUUAACCUACCUGAAGAGCUUUCUGGAGAGUCAAGACAGAAAGGAGCGUUGUAAAACUACUCCAGACUGAUGCCUCCUAUCUGGUGAUGUCUCUCACGUUUGCCUUGCUUCUCCACUUGUCUAUAAGGAACAAUUCCCCACCAGCCAAGCAGUUUAAAACACUUUUACCAGCAACCUUCUUUAAACCUUCUUUUGUGUCUCAUGUUUCAUGGUGGAUGAAAAAUGGUCUCAUUGAGAUGAUGAGAUUUCCCUUCCACUGUCCUGUCAGAGUGAACCUGGUGAAACUGAAGAUCCUGCAGCAAAAACGGGGUCAGAGCAAUCGCUGUAUUGUGCAACAAAUUGUUGCUGCCCUGGAAAGCAGGUUUUUUUUGCUGGAUGUUGUAUAAGCUGAUGGACAAGCAAUAUUAUUUAAGCUAAGAUUAUGUUGCAUUAGAGGUGAAAGCAAAAAAUAAUCACACUUCUGUACAUGUUCUAAGCCCUUUCCAGGCUUUUGUGCCUUAAACUCUUGGAGACCUAGGAACAAAAACUACCUGCAAUAAAUGUCUAUCCAAGAAAUCAUUUGGUAACUGAAGUUGCUGCUGCAAAGCAGUUCAUUGCCUCCCUGCCCAUGCUGGGGCAGAGGUUUGCCACAAGAUUUCAAUACUUUCAUAAAGCCUAAUUCUGCUACCCCUUUGUGUCCAUAGUUGUGAUGUAUUUGUCAGCCUGUGCUCUUCUUACCGACUGUGGUGGUUGACCAUGCUGUGCUUACGAGCAGAACAGUGAUGUGGUACAGUUGCUGAAUGACUGCAGGCUCCCUGUGUCCACCUCUGCUGUGCAUCUGACUGUGCUGUGGGCUGUUACCAUGUCCUAACCUUCAGUUGCUCUGAAUUUAAGGAGAUGAAUGUUCCCUGCCUGUGCUGGGAGUGUUGCAGAGAUGGAGGAGAGCAGAGUGCUUUGUUUCUUCUGACGGAGCUGCUCAGCACAGAGGAUGCCCCUCUUCUUGCAGAGGGCAUUUCAGAGCUCCUGGCCGUCAUUGCAGCAUCGGAAGCACAGAAGAGACUUUUCCAUGGAGCUACAGAGCCGUCACCUGCAGUUUGUCGAGUCUGUGCUUUGGAAUCCGAGUCAAAGGGAGCGUGGGAUUCUGUGCUCAUGGAUGGCUACAGGAAAAGCUUUCAUUAAUUGCCAUUUAGCCUAACAGCAGAUGAAAGACAAGGACUCCGUGGAGUAAGGUUUGCUCUCUGCAUCUUGGGAAGCAUUCUGGAUACACCAGCUUCUGGAGUUCAUUCCAUGCUUCUGCUCUAACGUUUCCAGGCUCAAAGCAAUGGUAGAUAACACAGGUAAGGUGGUAAGAGAUGGAGCUGUUCAUGGCAAGGGCUUGUCUUGUCCCCUCGGCACACAGGAUUCCCAGGGAGCACAGCAACCCACUUGGAUUCCUGAUUCAUCCUUGCUUUUCCUCACUGUUAGCUUCUCACAGAGUGCUUUCCUGCAGGAUGUCUGCUCCCACCUGUCUGGUGAUGGGAACUGCAGCCUCUUCCAUAGCGCAGGAGCAUCUCUCAGUGCUCCUUGUCCUGUGGAUGCUACAGAGGCUCCCAGCCAGAGCAGGAGGUUUCCUCAGGGCCUCCCCAAUGCAGGCAUGCAAUAGGAUUUUCUCUGCUCCUCUUUGGAACUCCGUCCACCAGCUCAUGCUGGGUUGGGGUCUGUUGGACAUCACAGGUUUUGGGUGUCCACCCAGUUGGAAGAUUGUCUUGCCAAACACUUGAUGUUUACCAAGGUCUGGAUCUGGGGGUUUCUUUCUUUUGCUACAGUGAUCUCCCAGUUUCUGCCCUGGGAUUUGACUGGGAGGUUUCGAGGUUCCCUUCACACCAGUGCCAAGCAGAAUCCAGGACACCCAGGGAAUGAACGCCUUGUGAUGGGGCAAAGCAGCCGCAGGAUCCAUGCAGGAGGUGCAGGAUGGGACUAGCUUUGACCAGGACUGUCUUUAGAAGAGCUUGGCCACACAAGGGUUGGGGCUCAUUCCCAGGCACAUGCUUUAAAUGAGGACCAUGUUGAUGUGGUUGCCAACCCCGCAUGUUUGUGGGGGGGUGACCAGCUCCAAAGGGUGAUUCCUGAGCGCUGGCAAUGGCUUUCAUCUGUGCCUUUUGCUCAGGCUUAAAACUAACUGUUGUUGCCCCUCAUCCUUUCUGCUCUUUCCCCAGGGCUCAGGGGCAGGAAGCAGUCUCCGGCUUCUCACCCCCGUUUCUCAUGGACCUGUGGCAUCAGCACCUGCAGGAAUUUCAGCAGUUGCUCCAAUCCAGUUGGUUGGAAUCCUUUCCAUUGACGAUGCACCCAACAGGAUUGCUUUGGCAGGCUACCGCGCGGUGACUUCCGCCUCUUUCUACGAUGGCGGAUGGGGCUUACGGGGCGGGUGCCAUCGGCCUCCAUCCGCCUCCAUCCGCCUCCAUCCGCCGCUCCCCACGGUGCUUCGGGGCCCUGCCGUGGGCUGUGGAGAGCAGCGGGACCGCCGGAGGGCUCCGCUCCCCCCCCCUGCGGCGCUGGAUGAGGUGACCGCGGCAGCAUCCCAGCACGGGAGGCGAUCCUAGGGCAUGGGAUGGUUGGUGCCCGGCUCAGCGUUGGACAGGUGAGAUCUGUGAUCCAGACUUUGGGAAUGGGGCUGCCUUCAUGCCCCCCCUGGCCUGAGCACCAGGUAGUGCCAGUGUGGGGCUUGCUCCAGGGACUCUGCAAGCUCAUCCUGCAGACAGGGAUUCCCUGUUCCUAAUAUGAGGCCUGAAGAACUGCAGGCUCCCCUGGUUCUUGCUCCAUCCAUGUCAUGCAUCCCUCGGGAUAAACGGAUUUACCUCCCCACCAUUCCUGUGGAACCAGACCGAUCCCUGGGAGCCAUCCCAGCCUUUGGAUGCAUGUUGAUCCAAGAGCUGUGGCUCAGUGCAGUAGCUACAGGUUUCCAGUAACAUGCCAGAGCAAUGGAAGGUCUUUGGCUGCUGGGCUUCUCCUGCCCAUUGCUGUUACUCGCCCUUCCUACAGACUUCCCAGGAAUGUGGGGUGUAUCCAGCAGUCUGCAGCCUGCUCCUGGGGGGUGUUGUUGUUCUUCCAGGGUCAUUUGGCUGCUGGAUGAUGACCGUGGACCUGCCUGUGGUUAGGCCUCAGGAACUACUUGGUGGAAAACGCUGCUGAGCCCCCUCUCCAUGGGGAAGGGAUAGGCUUUGCCUUCCUUAGGGCCUGGAUCGUAGGAAGCCGACAUGGAAUUGGGUCUGCGUGGAGCUGAGGCAUGAGCUGGUCCAUGAGGGUUGCAGGGGCUCUGCAGAGCCAUAUCCUGGCCUCCUUACUGAGCUCCGCUCCCUGCACCCACCAAGAGGGACCCUGCUUGGCUCCUGCUGCAGCCCUGCAUGGAAGGACUGGAGUUUUCCAAGAAGAGCUUGGAGGGGGAGGGUCUGGGUAUGGAAUGUUGGAGGGUGAAUAAAUGCAAUCACUUUAA